UACAGAGGUCUCAAGCGUUGUUCGGAUUCAUUGGGCGUAAAGGGUGUGUAGGUGGCGCCGUAAGUCGGGUGUGAAAUUUCGGAGCUUAACUCCGAAACUGCAUUCGAUACUGCGGUGCUUGAGGACUGGAGAGGAGACUGGAAUUCAUGGUGUAGCAGUGAAAUGCGUAGAGAUCAUGAGGAAGACCAGUGGCGAAGGCGGGUCUCUGGACAGUCCUGACACUGAGACACGAAGCCAGGGGAGCAAACGGG
rnacentral:rRNA from 1 species